AUGAAAAUUAUUAGCUGGAACUGCUGGGGACUCGGGAACAACCCAACAGUUCGAUCGCUCAUCAAGUUGGGGAGAGUGGAGGAUCCUGAUGUGCUUUUCUUGGCAGAGACGAGGCUCACUGAGAAUUAGUUGGAUAGGUUCCGCUGGAUGCUUGGGCUUAAAAAUAUGACGGCCUGGAAUCCAGUGGGUAGAAGUCGAGGGGUUGCAAUGUUCUGCAGGAGAGGGUUGGACGUGUCACUUUGCUUGUAUGGAAGGAUACAUGUAGAUGAUGAUGUCAUAGAGGAAGAUGGCUCGAUAUGGCGUCUGACGGGCGCGUAUGGGGAGUCAGCAACGGAGAGGAAGAAGGAUACAUGGAGAAUCCUCAAGUUACUCAAACAACAGCACCAAUAG
rnacentral:rRNA from 1 species